AAUCAAUACAGAGACCAGCAAAAGCAAUGGCGAGUUGCUUUGUGCUAGUAAUUAUAUAAACCACACAAAGCAAGAUAGUUUUCAAGUGCUUGGGAGAAUUCCAAAGAAAUACAGUUACUUUAGAUUCCAACAGACAAAAAAAAAAAUAGCAAUGGAGGUGAAGGAUAUAGUGUUCAUGAACAAAGGAGAUGGAGAAAACAGCUACGUCAAGAGUGCAGGAUUGACGCUAAAAGUGAUAGCCAAAACCCAGCCGAUAGAGCAAAAAGUAGUUCAAUCUCUCUUCACAGGAACUCAUUCAACCCCACUUCAAGUUGUUAACGUGGCUGACCUGGGGUGUGCUUUAGGUCCCCAACCUCUUGAAUCCAUGUCAAUAGUGAGAGAGCAUCGUGGAAAAAUGCGGUGAAUUGGGAUGCGAAAUGCCAGAAAUCCAGUUUCACUUGAAUGGUUUAGCCGGCAACGAUUUCAACACACUGUUCAAAGGGUUAUCCGUCGUUCAAGAGAAAUAUAAGAAUGUUUCAUGGUUUGCUAUGGGUGCUCCUGGUUCCUUCCAUGGCCGGCUUUUCACUCGAAACUCCAUGCAUCUUGCGCAUUCCUGUUACAGCAUACACUGGCUCUCCAAGGCACCAAAAAUCACAAGCGAAGCAGGGUCACCAUUGAACAAGGGGAAGAUCUACAUGUCUAAAACCAGCCCUCCUGCUGUGAGAGAGGCAUAUCUUUCCCAGUUUGAAGAAGACUUCUCUUCAGUCUUGAGAUUCCGAUCUCCAGAGCUGGCACCUGACGGCCGUAUGGUCUUGAUUCUUAAUGGGCGGCAAUCUGCAGAUCCCACAGAGAAAGACAUCUGCUACCUUUGGGAUCUUCUAGCUGAGGCCUUAUCCUACUUGGUUUCAGAGGGAUUGAUUGAUGAAGAGAAAUUAGACUCCUUCAAUGUACCUUACUACAAUCCCUCCCAAGAAGAAGUUGAGCGUGUGAUAGACAAGGAAGGUUCCUUCACAACUGAGUUUAGUGACACGGUUUUGCUGGAGAUUGGAGGUAAGAAUGCAUGGUCCAACCCAGGAUUAAGAAUUAAAGGCUACAGAUGCUUUUCAGAGCCCAUUUUGUCUCACCAGUUCGGAGAAGAAGUGAUGGAUAAGCUAUUUGAUAAGGCCGAAGAGAUUCUAGCUGAAGAUUACAAUCAGGGAAAAGAAGCAACCAAGAACAUCAGCAUUGUUGUUGUGCUGAAAGAGAAAACAAAUCAGACUUGGACUUAAUUUCUGGGUCAUCCAGGAAAUUACAUUGCAGAAAAGAAUAAAAAGUAAUGGGAUAAAUAAUAGUAUGACAUGAAUGUACCUUGAGACUUAGUUUUUCUUGAUACUAAGAUGCCAAGAGGCUUUAUUUUUAAGUA